GGAGGAAUAUUGGGCAAUGGACGAAAGUCUGACCCAGCAACGCCGCGUGAAGGAUGAAGGCCUUCGGGUUGUAAACUUCUUUUGAGGGAGAAGAGAAAGGACGGUAUCCCUCGAAUAAGCCACGGCUAACUACGUGCCAGCAGCCGCGGUAAAACGUAGGUGGCGAGCGUUAUCCGGAUUCAUUGGGCGUAAAGAGCUUGUAGGUGGCUAUAUAAGUUGGACGUGAAAACUCUAGGCUUAACUUAGAGAGGCCGUUCAAUACUGUAUGGCUAGAGGAUGUCAGAGGGAAGUAGAAUUCCUGGUGUAGCAGUGAAAUGCGUAGAUAUCAGGAGGAAUACCCGUGGCGAAGGCGGCUUCCUGGGGCACACCUGACACUGAGAAGCGAAAGCUAGGGGAGCAAACGGG
rnacentral:rRNA from 1 species